rnacentral:rRNA from 1 species
GACGAACGCUGGCGGCGUGCCUAAUACAUGCAAGUCGAGCGGACAGAAGGGAGCUUGCUCCUGGCUGUUAGCGGCGGACGGGUGAGUAACACGUGGGUAACCUGCCUGUAAGACUGGGAUAACUCCGGGAAAACGGAGCUAAUACCAGAUAGUUCCUUGAAACGCAUGGUUCAAGGAUGACAGACGGUUUCGGCUGUCACUUACACAUGGACCCGCGGCGCAUUAGCUAGUUAGUGAGGUAACGGCUCACCAAGGCGACGAUGCGUAGCCGACCUGAGAGGGUGAUCGGCCACACUGGGACUGAGACACGGCCCAGACUCCUACGGGAGGCAGCAGUAGGGAAUCUUCCGCAAUGGACGAAAGUCUGACGGAGCAACGCCGCGUGAGUGAUGAAGGUUUUCGGAUCGUAAAGCUCUGUUGUUAGGGAAGAACAAGUGCAAGAGUAACUGCUUGCACCUUGACGGUACCUAACCAGAAAGCCACGGCUAACUACGUGCCAGCCGCCGCAGUAAGAC